rnacentral:lncRNA from 1 species
UUGAUGGACUAUUUGCCUUUGGGCUUGGCUUCUAAAAUGCAUAGACAUUUUGAUGUGGUUAAUCUAAAUUCCAGCAGUCAACAUUUGACUCAGCUCACAGACAUGUAAAAAUUAUGAUUGCUGUGUUUUCUCCUAUGAAGCAAGUUGUCACAUUACAGUUAUACAUUCUGUUUUUGUCCCCUUCUUCCUCUCUUCUUGUGUGGUAUCUUUUCAAAUUGAAAACUACUUUUCCAGAGGGCAUUAUUUGUGCCUCCCUAAGGUUUUUAUGACAGGUGAAAAGGAACUGGGAUAUUUUUUUCACUUUCUUCAUUUAGUCUGUGAUAAGAAGUAGAAAAAUCACUAGAGUGGUAUAGAUUCAGUGUUUUUGAUGAUGAAAAUAAUUCUCAUUGCCAUUUUGAAAGUUAUUUCUGUCUGAGGGCAGCAAAUUUUGGAGCCAGAAAAUGUCACUUAUUCCGACAGGCUGUACAGAGGUCUUUAUGGUUUUGGUUUUGUUUUAAUGGCAACAUUUUGACUGUCAGACUAAAAGAAUAUUCUGUGAUUAUCUUUAAGCAUCACAGAAAUUCAAGGGUACAUACCUAUUUCUUUCAAUGUUAAAAAUGAUAAGUAAAAUUAGCUAUAUCUGUAUUUUUUUCUCUAGUGCCAAAUGAAUGCCUUAGCUACUCAUAGUGCAUGGUACUGUAAGUGAAGACCUGCAGCUUUUUUUCUUUAAUGAAAAGCAUUAUAAUGGUGUAGCAACAUCAGAUAUAAACGUAAAAAACAACAAGAUUUCAGUUAACAUUUUAUGUAUAGAUAUUGCUUUGUGAAGUCUAAGAAAAAGGUUGCAGCUGGAUCA